rnacentral:sRNA from 1 species
UUUUGUAUUUUCAUAUAGGGUUCCCUUAUGCUCACUAAUAGAGUAGAUCUUUCUGAUGUGGAUUUGUUGUAACGCCCGUGAACCGGAAAAUCGGUUAGGGUUUGUUUUUAAAUCAUCCGGUUUAAUUGGUUGGCUUAAUUGGAAACCCUAGAGUGUGCCUAUAAAAGAAGGAAACUCGAAAUUAGGGCUUUAGUUAGCCACUUUUCAUUUUGUAAAGGAGAAAAAGAGAGAAAAGAAGAAGGAGCAGAAUCGUUAGGGUUUGAGAGAAAUCAGUUUCGUCAUAUCAAAUUGUGGUAAAAGGUAACGAAAUUUGGUAGAGUUAUUCCCAAGUCCUUUAUCGUUAUUCUCCAGUUAAC